GUGGGGAAUCUUCCACAAUGGACGAAAGUCUGAUGGAGCAACGCCGCGUGAGUGAAGAAGGUCUUCGGAUCGUAAAACUCUGUUGUUAGAGAAGAACGUGCAUGAUAGUAACUGAUCUUGUAAUGACGGUAUCUAACCAGAAAGCCACGGCUAACUACGUGCCAGCAGCCGCGGUAAUACGUAGGUGGCAAGCGUUGUCCGGAUUUAUUGGGCGUAAAGGGACCGCAGGCGGUUUUUUAAGUCUGAUGUGAAAGCCUUCGGCUUAACCGAAGAAUAGCAUUGGAAACUGGAAGACUUGAGUGCAGAAGAGGAGAGUGGAAUUCCAUGUGUAGCGGUGAAAUGCGUAGAUAUAUGGAGGAACACCAGUGGCGAAAGCGGCUCUCUGGUCUGUAACUGACGCUGAGGUUCGAAAGCGUGGGUAGCAAACAGGAUUAGAAACCCCUGUAGUCC
rnacentral:rRNA from 1 species